rnacentral:piRNA from 1 species
UUGCCACUCCUAUAUCCCUGCCCGUCUUGA